ACGGAGGCAGCAGUAGGGAAUAUUGCACAAUGGGGGAAACCCUGAUGCAGCAACGCCACGUGUGGGAAGAAGCAUUUCGGUGUGUAAACCACUGUCGUGAGGGAAUAAUGCUUGGUCUCGGCCAAGUUGAAUGUACCUCGAAAGGAAGCACCGGCAAACUUCGUGCCAGCAGCCGCGGUAAUACGAGGGGUGCAAGCGUUGUUCGGAAUCACUGGGCGUAAAGGGAGCGCAGGCGGAGAUGCAAGCAGUCUGUACAAUACCGGGGCCCAACCCCGGACCUGCAGACUGGACUGUUCCUCUUGGAUAGUUCAGGGGCAAGCGGAAUUCCUGGUGUAGCGGUGGAAUGCGUAGAGAUCAGGAAGAACACCGAUGGCGAAGGCAGCUUGCUGGGGACUUAUCGACGCUCAUGCUCGAAAGUGCGGGUAGCAAACAGGAUUAGAUACCCUGGUA
rnacentral:rRNA from 1 species